GUGCUAUCACAUUAGCGGCACAUAUACUGAAGCUGGAACGAGGCAGUGGAGAUUAGCACAGCCCUUGCAUGAGGAUGACACAGGUUUAUAAAGUAAUUCAUAUUUUU
ensembl:snRNA U6 U6 spliceosomal RNA